UAACCAGCGAUGUCAGCCCAAUGAGCAUGCUGUGUCUGACAGCACAGUGGGUCGACGAGGAUUCCGUCCCUUAGGAAAGCCGUAUUGCAUGCUCAAGAAUGUGCUGGUUCUCAUAACGCUUCUGCCAUUUCAAUGGCAUUUGAGAACAUGUGAACACACUCCUAGCUCCAUUCGAACAACUGACUUGAGAAAUAAGCUCAUCAACUGCGUCUGCAGCAGACGUGAUAUCCUCCGUCAUGGCACUUGAAAGACCUGCUCAACAAAACUGUCAAAACAGACCGUGGGGUUAAAACUCGCAAAAGUACUCUACUAGAGGCUGUGAACAAGUGAUUCGGUGGCAUUCUUUGCGGUGUCGCCGCCAUGCUCGAUGCUAGAUACAAGGGCCGCUACUUUGAUGCAGACAAGAAACAGGGUUUAACUGAAAUGUUUGACACAGCUGAACAAUAUGGAAACGUACACAGUGACAGUGCACACCGAAGAGGACCCACGACAGAAGAGACCAUGGACAGAGAGCUGAAACUUCACUGCUUGACAUGUAUGAUCAAAUCCUGGUUGAGAUUGAAAUGACUGAACAAAUGAACAACGAAACAGCACAGCAAGUGGGCGGACUGGAAACCCAGUGACAACACACUGGUCUGCAGCUGCCAUUUUCUGUUGGGAAAGAUAAAUGGCCCAGUAUUUACCAGAAAAAAGGUAGCUCAUCCCCCAUGGCAGAAGAGGAAGAUCCAGACUGUUGAUUGGGAAACAAGAACAAACAAUGAGUCCAACAGGAGUGUAUCCCUCAGACAAUCCGGUGCAUGGACAUCUUGUACCAGUUGUGAUCCAAGCGCGAGCAUCUAGUUGUGGAGACUACAACAGAUCGAGCCUGUGGACGGACAGACAUGAGGCGUGACAUGCAGAACAUCAAGCUCACUCCACGAGAAGCAGUGCAUGAUCAACGCCAUCCUCAGCAAGAUCUGCUGGAAGUGAUGUACUCUCUCACUCACUCCCUCUGGGGGUACAGGCAGGGAUGACUGGGGCCUUCAUCAAGACACAGGGGUAAAAAAUAAUUUGGAAAUCACAUGUAUAAAUUCCCACUGUGCCCAUGAUAAAGUUAACCACAAAUGUAUUUGUAUGUAAUAUAACCUAUUAUGGGAGCCUAGUGUGUUUGUAUGAACUGUGUGGAAUAUUUUUGGAAUAUGAGUCUGUCAGAGGUUGUCAUGCUGGAUGGGGAUGAUGACGGAGGCUUUGGUGGUCCACACAACAAAGUAGGUGUCCCUUCCAGUGAUGAUGAGCUGACCUUGGACCUGGUACCAGUAAGAAUGGUCUUUACGGAGGUGGUAAGAUCCUACCUCCUUGAUAUAGAAAUCCUUCGACUUCACUGCCUCUUCAGUGGUAAGAUCCCUUGCACCAUAGGGACACUUGACCUCCACCACUGCUGUGGUGCCCACCAGGCCAUCCGGCGAGGCACCCAGGAUCCCAGACUCCAUGACACAAAGCCUUGACUCCUGCAGAUCCAUCCCUGUAGCCAUUUUUAUUGCCCUCGUCUUUGAUAUCUAUGCCCCACUUUACAGACAACAACCUAUCCAAUGACUGUGAUCGGAGGACCCUUUUAGCAGCAACAGAGUAACGGGCUUGGCCCUAACCACUGCUCCAUAACUGCUGGCCGUCAACCUCCCUCCCCUCAUGGUGUGCCAGUUGGGGUCGGUGCGCUGUCAAGCUUGGUGUGCUGGGGUUGGUGUGCUGCCGUAAAGCCUCCUGCUGCUCCACCGACAGCGCCAUGCCAGCCAGGAUGCCUGCAAGCCCCAGGUUCCCUUGCUUCUAAACAAUGUCCGGUACAGACAGGGAUGACAGAAAGGGUAGCGGUUGUUCUGGCUCAGGUUCAUGGAGAUAUGCCAUUCCAUUGAACUUGCCCUGGAGACGGUUCCUUAGCCACUGAAGAUCGUCCUCUGUGGGAUCCCCUGGACAGAGGGUUGCAGUCUUCGGCCGGGUACAGGUCCACCACUAACUGCACCUAGUUGGGCACGGCUGGCUUAGGCUAUAUGGCUACACUUACGAGCUCCACGGAGGCAUUCGCAUGGGGUAGAGAGAAUCCCCUGGUCACCUAUAGACACCUGCCAAGAUGAAGGAUAUUAAGUGCCACGUCUUUCAAUGCAUGACUUUGAACACCUUUAAAUUCAUUUGUAAUAAGAAAUGUGCUAUAUAAAUAAAGUUUGAUUUGAUUGAU